rnacentral:lncRNA from 1 species
GUCAAAAAUCAGUGCUUAACCAUUGUUCUUACCUAUAGCACUUCCAGCCAUAGCAUGUUAUUUUGGCUUUGAGCAUCAAAUAAAGCUCAGCUGAUAUUUCUCUUUAACUAAAAAAAAUGUUCAAAUUCCCAUUUACCUUUUCUUUCAUUAAACUGAGAUUUCAUCGUGGUCACCACAGCUGCCUGUAUUUCAUAUCCAGGUCUGUGAGAACAUACAUGCAAUACAGAGGACCUAAGAAUGUUUUUCAUGGAUACCAAAGAGGAGUCAGAUGCAUGGAUACCAAAGAGGAGUCAUGGAUACCAAAGUAAUAUUGUACUGCUGCCUGGAGUCCGUGGCCCGCUGCACUGGCAUUUUCACUGAAGACUUAUUACUUCUGCAGACAUCUUCAAGGGAGUGAAUUUAAGGAAGGUAAUAUGGAGACAUGGUUAGGUUUUAUACCCUCUGCUCAUCAGGAUAAUGUAUAGAGACUUGCUGAACUGAGAUAUGAAGAUGGCCUAAUCAUCAAAUAUGGAUUCAGGUCUCCCCUGCUGAGCAGGACAGACAGACGGACUACGCAAGGCCCAACCCCUGUCCUUCCCGCAAACAGAGGCUGGAGAAACCACACGUCCCCUUUCCAGGUAGGGAUUGCUGCUGGCUGCCUUGGCUUUGUUUCCCACUUUCACCGCAGCAGUGGCAGUGGGAGGCCUUAUCUCGGCCUCCCAGCACUUCCCCCGGCAUGCGUGUGGGAGCCGGCAUGCCACAAACUUCCAGCAGCGGCUGGGCCGACAGGAAGGCUCUCUCGCCUCGUGCCCGAACGCCUGAGCUGCGUCCCGCCGGCCGUAGAAUUGCAAUCUGGCAGCUGCAGGGAUUUCCCGUUGCUUCCCUCCAUCUCUUCCUGCGAGGCCUGCUGUGGGGCCGGCAGCGGCCGUCAGGCCUCAGGAAGCUGUGAGCGGCGGCAGGCGGGCAGGUGGGGGCGAGGAGGUGAUGGUGGCCAAAACCCAUUUGUUUGGUGGCCGUCGCACCGACACGCGCUGGUUGGGCCAGGGGAAAACAAAAGGGGGAUGUCUGCUUCAAAAAGGCAGGAAAUGAAGCAGCACGGGGGACGAGAGAUCUAUUGGGACUGGGUUGGGGCUUUUCUUUCUUAACCUAUUGUUUCAUGAUAUUAUAAUGCAAAAAAAAAAAAAAAAAAAAAAGUAAAGGGGGAAAUAGAGAGAAAAAAAAAAAAAAAAAGAAAUUGAACACAUCCUGUGACCUCUUAUCAAGCCAUCAGGAAUAAAAACAAACAGCUCAUUCA